GACGAACGCUGGCGGCGUGCCUAAUACAUGCAAGUAGGACGCAGUUGCGAACGGGUGAGUAACGCGUAGGUUACUACCUAUUAGAGGGGGAUAACUAUUGGAAACGAUAGCUAAUACCGCAUACUAGUAGAUGGACCUGCGUUGUAUUGGCUAGUAGGUAGGGUAAUGGCCUACCUAGGCAACGAUACAUAGCCGUCAGGAGAAGGUGUUCGGCCACACUAGAACUGAGAGACGGCCCAGACUCCUACGGUAGGAAGCAGAAAGGAAUCAUCGGAAAUGGGGGGAAGACUGACCGGGAAACACCGCGUGAGUGAAGGAGGUUUUCAGAUCGUAAAGCUCUGUAGUGAAGGAAGCGGUACUUAACCAGAAAGAGACGGCUAACGACGAGCCAGAAGCCGCGGUAAUAC
rnacentral:rRNA from 1 species